rnacentral:rRNA from 1 species
GCGGCCGUAACUAUAACGGUCCUAAGGUAGCGAAAUUCCUUGUCGGGUAAGUUCCGACCUGCACGAAUGGCGUAAUGAUGGCCAGGCUGUCUCCACCCGAGACUCAGUGAAAUUGAACUCGCUGUGAAGAUGCAGUGUACCCGCGGCAAGACGGAAAGACCCCGUGAACCUUUACUAUAGCUUGACACUGAACAUUGAGCCUUGAUGUGUAGGAUAGGUGGGAGGCUUUGAAGCGUGGACGCCAGUCUGCGUGGAGCCAACCUUGAAAUACCACCCUUUAAUGUUUGAUGUUCUAACGUUGGCCCCUKACCGGGGUUGCGGACAGUGUCUGGUGGGUAGUUUGACUGGGGCGGUCUCCUCCCAAAGCGUAACGGAGGAGCACGAAGGUUAGCUAAUCCUGGUCGGACAUCAGGAGGUUAGUGCAAUGGCAUAAGCUAGCUUGACUGCGAGCGUGACGGCGCGAGCAGGUGCGAAAGCAGGUCAUAGUGAUCCGGUGGUUCUGAAUGGAAGGGCCAUCGCUCAACGGAUAAAAGGUACUCCGGGGAUAACAGGCUGAUACCGCCCAAGAGUUCAUAUCGACGGCGGUGUUUGGCACCUCGAUGUCGGCUCAUCACAUCCUGGGGCUGAAGUAGGUCCCAAGGGUAUGGCUGUUCGCCAUUUAAAGUGGUACGCGAGCUGGGUUUAGAACGUCGUGAGACAGUUCGGUCCCUAUCUGCCGUGGGCGCUGGAGAAUUGAGGGGGGCUGCUCCUAGUACGAGAGGACCGGAGUGGACGCAUCACUGGUGUUCGGGUUGUCAUGCCAAUGGCACUGCCCGGUAGCUAAAUGCGGAAGAGAUAAGUGCUGAAAGCAUCUAAGCACGAAACUUGCCCCGAGAUGAGUUCUCCCUGAGACUUUAAGUCUCCUGAAGGAACGUUAAAGACGAUGACGUUGAUAGGCCGGGUGUGUAAGCGCAGCGAUGCGUUGAGCUAACCGGUACUAAUGAACCGUGAGGCUUAACCUU